GGGCCAUUAGCUCAGCGGCCUAGAGCAGGAUGCUCAUAACAUCAAGGUCCCUGGUUCGAAUCCAGGAUGGCCCA
rnacentral:tRNA from 1 species